CCGUUUAUUCCUAAGACUACUUGUGUAUGUAAAUUCACUGAAAGGUACAGUAAUGAUAUUUGUCUUGAAAAACUUGGCAAAGGAAAUGUUUAUUGAUUUGCAUACUGAGUUUAACUAACAGUGCUUUUUUCAAGUUGCUUAGCAUAACUGCCAAAAAAUCGCUAACUUCCUGCUUGGGAACAAAUUCCGGCUAAGCAAAUCGAAUACAUCAUGUAAUUAGUAUUAACUGUCUGAUUAGUCGUCAUACAUUGUCAGAAACCCACAUAUACAGUUAGUGAUCUGGAACAAGGGGACGGAAAAUUCAGGAAAAAUACUGUGGAGGCAGAUUUCGGAAAAUAUGCUCAGGCCGGUGGAUUAAUUACACAUUUCAAAUGUCCAGGAAUGUCGGACAGUUUCGUAUUUAACACUAAGUCAAAACGGAGGAAUUGAAAUUGAUUCUCAAGUCAAGGAGGCAUUUGGUAGCAGUCUGGUACAGAGUCAGUCCAGUGACAAGUCAACUUAUGUCUGCAACAUAUCAGCACCAGUUACUUCAUUACUUGUAUUGAUAAUGUCUGCACUUUGAAAGGUUAGGAGGCAUGUAACAUUGCACUUGUAAAUCAAUUCGUUUGAUGUGUGCUAAGUAUUAAGUGCUUCCAACUCCACGUACACUAAUGGGAAGAAUACCUUCAAACUGUCACAACUGAACAAAAUUGAUUUAAAGGUAAUCCUAAAGGAUAUAAUUUGGACUCCUCAUAAAUGCCUCUAAGUCUAUGUUAUUUUCUAUGAUUCAUUUUACGCCCAUUCAGUAGACGGAAAAGUAGCCUUUGGGGUGAUGGGGGUGAAGUGAUAAACAGUGUUUAUACCCAGUGAGACAAACAGUGUUUAAACACUGUCAAUAUGUUUAACUGUAGGUGAAGUAAGUCCACACUGCAAUGAUGUAGAGCCUACAGUAACUCACAAAACAAAAGGAAAAUUGCUGCUAUUUCUGAAAUUGGUGACAGAAUUGACUUUGUUUAUUGUGAAAAGUUGAAAAUGAAAAUGAAGUUUAAAGAAGUGGUUUUCCGUCUUAAAAUUAGAUAGGAAUGAGUGUUAAUAGCGAUCAAGAAGUAGUCGUUGAAUGGUUAUACAAGGGCAUACAGGAUCAUAAUAAGGCAGGAUAUCAUGUACUCUUUCACCCGUUUCGGAAAUAGGUGGAUGUAAUUCUGGUCCACACAUCUGACAUAAACCAAAAAGCAGUUAUUUUAAGCUCCUCUAGUUUUAAAAUCUACACAUCCAUGUUCAUCUGCAGUAAUUUCAAACCCUUCAAGUUCAGCAAUAACAAGAACAAAAGAUGCAGUUAAAGAGCAAAUAGUAAUUAAUGCAAAAAUGAAUGACACUGUUUGUACUAAGAUGUAGACCUUUUAUAUGAGUACGCAGAGAAGAAAGAUGAAAAUUACGAACAGGAGAGUUAAAGAAUGAAAAGAAAGAAUAAUGAAAACAUGUCCAUGUAACAAGACUUCAGGAUAACAAUGAUGUCCUUUGUAAUAGCUAUAAAGCUGUUUACUUUUAAUUGUUAAUUGAAAUGUAAAAAUAAAGUUUCAACAUGUA